ACUUCAGUUAAUUUACAAAGAAAUGAAAUGAAAAACACGGGAGCUUCCGAGUUGUAACAAAAUCACCCAGAGCAAAUACAAAGGGUUUAGAUCAAAGAAACGAAAUGGAUGUUGGUGCUGCUGAAUCUGCUUCACCCAAUUCCCCUUCCAAUUUCAGUUCACAACGCCACUUCUAUCUUGCUGUUGACAGGCUCCAAUUCAAGAUGGAGACAUUGGUGGAUUUAUUGGGCAUGGCGGGCCGCCUUCCCUGCUUGCCGAUGGUUGUUUGUUGCAAUACUCGCGACGAGCUUGAUGCCAUCUCCUAUGCCCUCUCCAACUUAUCUUAUCUUUCCGCAACCCCUCUCUACAGUGACCUUGCUGAAGCAGACCGUGCUCUGGUUUUAGAUAAAUUUCGCCAAGCAACUAUUAAAUGGAACAGGAAUCCUAUCCUUCAUUCCGAGGAUAAGAAUGAUACUGAAAACGAAGAGCAAAAGUCACGUGUGGUAGUCGCAACAGAUGCGUGCCUGCCAUUAAUAGCCUCUGGGGAGGCACCUGUUAGUGCUCGUGUGUUAAUAAAUUAUGAGUUGCCUACCAAGAAAGAAACUUAUAUGAGGCGGAUGGCAACGUGUUUGGCAGCAGAUGGGAUUGUGAUAAACAUGGUUGUUGGGGGUGAAGUAGUAACUCUUAAAGGAAUUGAGGAAAGCAGUAGUCUGGUUAUAGCAGAAAUGCCCAUAAAUAUUUUUGAGAUGCUGUGAUGUUUUCAGGCUUGUUGGAAUUUCAAGGAACUGAUGUCUAAAUUGCUCGCCCACAUGAAUGAGGGGAUACAAAUUGUUUGUUUUUAAUUGGCUGAACAUGAUUUGGACCUUGACCCUAGUUUUUACUUGAAUCAUUGCUGAGGCUGGUAUUAUCAAAGAGGGAAAAUGCUGCAUGUAACGGUAGUGAGUCAAACAAUGUUGUCAAUGGUGCUCAUCCUUUCAGAAAUCUGUUCCAAAAAUUAAUGUUUGCGCAAUGUGUUUUGCUUUUCUUUUUGGUAUUCCUUUUUUACUUCCAGACAUUUGCAAGGCAAUAUGUUGGGAGAAUUUGGCACCUUUGCCAAAGAAGAAUGUGCAUUUGUGGUCUUUAGCAACUAAGUUGGCAAAUAUUGACAGGAGAACAAGAUGUUAACGUGAUUGAUUUGUAGUUUGCUAUCAGUUAUAGCAUAUCUUAAAAAACAAGUAAACAUAAAAUCAGAGGAAUGAAUCUGAAGAUUCUGUAAAUGCCGUCAAAGGCUACAGUGAGUUUAGAAUAAUUCAGCGGUCUAGUUAUUAUCGAAUCUGAGUUUUCUCUAAUAUUACUUUGAACAAUUCUAGAGAGACUGCUACAAAAAUGACCCAAAUUUGUUCCAUAUGGUAUUCCAGCCGAAGAUAGAAGAGUUAAAGGUUUAUUGACUUUAAAGGUUACAUAAAGAUGCAUAAUUAGGGUGUUUAUCUUGUUAAUUUGGAUAAAAAGCAGAAAAUAAGUGCUGAUGAAUUGAUAGACGUCUUGGAGAGGCUGGGAGAGACAGAUCAGGAAAUAGUGUGUUCUCAUUGAUGGAGAUGGAUUAAUAGACAUCAAGAAAAUUUAACAAGAUAACCACAUCAAAGAUGCUGCUACUUUGCAUGAAUUUUACAGGUAGAGCACAUAUCUGAGAAAUGGCAUUCACCAGCUGUAUUCAUAUGGAGCCUAACAGAGAAAUGACGGUAGAAGAAUUCAGAGCUUGGCUCAGACGAUACGACAUGGACCACGAUGGCAAGAUCAACCGCGAGGAACUGGCAGAAGCUCUCCGUAGCCUCCGAAUAUGGUUUGGGUGGUGGAAGGCUCGUGAAGGGAUAAAAGCUGCAGAUUCUGAUGGUAAUGGCUACAUAAAUAAUUCCAAGGAAAUCGAAAAGCUGGUAAAAUAUGCACAGAAGAAUUUGCAUAUGAAGAUCACGAAAAAUAGCUGGUGAUUCUUUGAGUUUCGGAGGAAUGUUUGUUCUUGUGUUUGCACCUUACAUAUUCUGUUAUUAUUAUUGGUGUGUUGUUCUAAUAAUGACCAUAAUUAACUGAUGAUUUUCUGCUAUUCCGGUUCUAGCAUUUCUAA